UUUCUCGUUGUUGGCGCCUGAGAUUUAAUGUUUGGAUCGAUAUCUUUUUUUAUUUUUUAAUUGUUAAUUGAUUAAUAUCGAGAUACAAGUCUUUUAUUUUUUGAAAAUUUUUGAGGAGGGGAUAGAAGUAAUAUCGAGAUUAUGUUUAAAUAUAUGUCCGGACAAAAAACCCCAAAAGUUAAAAACAAACAUUGGACCAGAAUAAAUAUGGAACAAAGAAAAUACAAUGACCUUGAGUGGCGCCUUAAUUUACAGACUUUAAUUCCUCGUGACGGAUCUUUAUAUGUUUUCUCUUUAUAUGAAUUCCUCGUAAUUCCUACUCGUUCAUUUUUUUACAAAUAUAUUCCCAGGAAAGUAAUGUUUCGUUCUAACCAUUUUUUUUUUAUUAUUCAAUUAAAAAGAGAAUGAUUUACUGGUAAAAAUAUCAUCGAUUCAUUAAUUUCCAAAGUUCUCUUUUUCAAAUUAAAUUUUCACAACUAAUUACAUUUCAUUUUAACACUCACCAUUUUCUAUCAUUCGAAAAAAUUCUAAUAUUCAAGAAGAAGAAGAAGAAAAAAAAAAAAAAUUAUAGGGUAAAACGCGAAAUAUUAUUAAUUAAUUACUUUCACUAAUUCUUUAAAAUUUCCAGGUCAUCUCGACAAAAUCCACGAGAUACGCUCGCAAUGAACGACGAACGUGUACUGAACUCGAAUUGCCGAUCUUCCGCUUACCUCUGCGGUGUUGAUUCUCAUGGCCGGCACCUGGCUAGGUACCGGGGGCGGUGGUGGCGGUGGAGGAGGCGGAGGAUAAAGUCCUGCAACGAUUACCGAUUUAAUGGAAUGCUAACUAGAGGUCAGGAAGAUGAUAAAGGAGGAUAGGAAGAUGAAAAAAAGAAAAUGACAAAGGGGAAGAGGAGGAAAAGGAAAGUGACAAAGAAGAUAACGGAAUAAAGGGAAGGAAAAAGGGAAGAAUUGAAAGAAGCGGAAUUGAUAAAAGGAGAAAGGAAGAAGAAUUAAUAAAUGAUCGUGUGAAAAGAAAUUGACAAAGAAGCGAAGAAAGAAUUG